rnacentral:lncRNA from 1 species
UUCCCCGAUCUCUCAAUUCCGAGUGGAACCGAAGGAAUGAAGUCAUCCUUGUCCCUGGGACUCUGUGUUCUGUUGUUAUCGCUUUGGCUGGUAGCAGUGACUGUGGUGGCACCGUCGUCCGGCGGAGGGGGAGGAGGAGGCGGAGGCGGAGGCGGAGGAGGAGGGCGUGGGGGUGGCAGCGGGGGUGGGGGUGGAAGCGGGGGAGGAGGCCGUGGGGGCGGGAGUGGGGGUGGGGGUGGGGGCGGAAGCGGAGGAGGCCGUGGGGGCGGAGGCGGAGGCCGUGGUGGUGGAGGAGGGGGAAGUGGAGGGGGAAGUGGUGGGGGAAGUGGUGGAGGAGGAGGCGGCAGUGGCAACGACGACGGGGAUGGAACAGGAACUGGGGGCGGUGGCGGGGCCGGCCCGGGAAGGGGUAGCGGAGGCUCCUUCGGAUCCGGCUAUCGCUGGAGCUUUUCCGUCGCCCCGCCAUUGUCUGGCUUCUCCCCAUUGGGCUUCUUCCUUCCUUUUGCCAUUUUGCAUGUUUUCUUCUGCUGAAACCUAGGUUGCUUGCGUCUAGAUUGAGCCCCUGUCGUGAGCUUCAAUUCCGAGCUCGAUUUUACGGCUCUGUGCGAGUCGAGGACCCAUCAUCUGGGGCUUCAUUUAUAGCUGCUCUCCAUAGGAGGUUGUCGAGCUAGCCGGCAACAGUAAGCUCUGUCUGCGGGGGGGACAACGGCAAACCUUUCUUUGUCAUAUCUCUUCCCCUUUCCAGCAUCAGGUUUGGAAAUGUCCCCCACGUGUACAGUUUAAACGUCAUAGUGGACGGGUGCAUCCAUCAGGAAUGUUUGCUGUACAUAAACAGCCUGGAUCUUCUUGUAAAUUACAUUAGUUAGACGAAAUUUAAAGUUCAGAACUUUCGGGACUGAAUAUCAACCGCUUCCUAGGAGACUCCAAGAUAUGAAGCUGGUGCAUUUCCAAGUAGUCUUAAGGUUAGUGAGAACCAAUCCUUAUCGGAAUCAAAUUCUUGUAAAAGAUUUGUCGACACUCAAGUGAUAUUAAAAAUAUCGUUAUUUCUUGAUUUAUUUAUCUCCAAACUGUAUGUGUGACAAAUUUCGCUUUCCUGCGGAAAAUGUGCGUUGCCUUUAAAGCAAUGAAUAGCAAGCCAAAUUUCAAAUCCCAGCUCGAAACACACUGGGUAUAGUCCUACAGUGACACCCGUUGCUUGGAGGAAAUAGGUUCACCACGCUGGGCAUGAGGACGUAUGGCGCCCAUGUGGGUAUGCAUGGGCGGGCGGGCGUGCGUUAGCAGGAAGUGGUAGGAUGUGGCACACGCCGAGGCACAUCAGACAAGUGGAGGCAUGCAACA